CUAGAAGUCAGAUAAAAAAUUUCUUCUGCUUACAGAAAAGUCUCCCCAGCUUAUCCUGGGGAGGGUUUCCAGACUACAAGCACUUGUUCUCAGAAGACUCAUCGUUAUUUAUAUCACACUUCUCUGUGACAGGGAGUUCAGACUUCUGUUACCCAGGAAGAAGCAGUUUUAGGCAAGCACAACAUGCGAGCUGCAAGUCACAGAGCCACAGCAAAAAGCAGCACCCCACUUGCAAGGCCCAUUGCUACAGACAAGUGUCACCCACUGACAUCUGCCCCCAGAGCUGUGUGGCAAAACAGGAGCCUCUCUCCAGCCUCUGGUGCAGACCCAAAACAAAGUACCCCAGGGAGAGCUGUCAGUUCUUUCCUUGUCAGCACCAAGGGCAGGCUGAAUCUCCAGGUAAUAGCAGAGAGGGAUCUGCAGAGAGAGUGCUUUGUUCCCAGGACUGAAAUCCCUCUCCAGUAUUAUUUGCACCCCACAACCCACUGCAACCCGUAUGUGCUUGUUGGAGGGCCCCAGCCACUCUGUCACUUCGCUGUGGCAGCGGGGAUGCACGGAAGGAAGAAUGUGUACUCAGGGAAAAUGGGCACUUGGCAAAGCUCUACCCGGGCCCACGGUGCUUUGCCACCAGGGAUUGGGAUUUGUGAGGGAAGGGAGGCCCUUCCAUCCAGAAGUGACCUCUUCAGCAGAGCAAUGUCAUUUUACCUGCAAUCUGUGGGGAAUAACGUGGGUCUAAAGGAAGGGCAUUGCAGGCACUGGUGCUGUCACAGCCCUCUGCAGGAAGAGCUAAAGAGGCAGUAGUGCAGCCCAGAAGGCAGGUGGCUCACAACAGGCUGUACAGCCCCACCAGCAUUGCCAAAGACACACCAAGGGUGAAACCGCCCCAGGCAUUCAAAAGGCAAUUCUGGCUCACACAACAGACUGGUGCACACUUGGCAGAGGUGAGGUUUUUGCAAAAGGAACAGGAAGGAAGAACUGAAACAGGAGGGGAAAGCAGCUGCCAGUGUCUGGGAAAGCUGACGCUCUGCACAAGAGACUUCUGCUGUAUGAAUCCUCACAAGGGGCUGCAAUAAUACCAAAUAGGGCUGUGCUGGGAAGCCCAGGAGGGACUCCUCAGCUUGUCUUAUGCCUAUUAGGAAGGUGAAUGAAAAGCUUUACUCUACCUGUGUAUCAUAUCCUGCAGGUUGAAAGCUUGUGAAAUACUGAUAUUAAAGGAAAUCAGAAGGGAAAAAAUAGCAAUAAAUCCCAAGAUGUGUAUUUAGAGAGAUGCUGCUGUGAUACCUUAAAAAAAACAGCAGCCCUUCUCAAUGUUAUCAUGGGAUCAAUAUGCUUAAGAGGCAGGAGGGUGUUAAAGUCAAAGGAUGAUAGCAGAGCCAAAGAUUUUAUUUCCAAUAUCUAUUCUUGUGUCAAGAUGCUGUGAUCUGGGUAAGUCAGUAUCAGACACAACUUACCUGAAGAUAAAUUGGAUCUUCCCAGCCAGUCUCAACAGAUGUGGAGUGGGCAGGUGCAAACACUAACCCACACAAACACUAACCCACACACUCCCAGGACCUGCACUGAUAAACCAAGGCCUUUAUUUUCAAAACCCCUGUUGUAAUCCAGCUGCAUAAACAAAUGCAGACUACACUCACAAACGAGUGUGCGGCUGUUUACCAGGAUUAUGCCCUUUAUAUUGAGGGUGCAAAUCCAGGGAUGCAACCAAGCAAAGUGGAAACUUCAAUUAAAACACAAUUUAAGUGAUAACCUUGUCAUCACACUCCUUUUAUAUCAGGGUUGCACGGAAAAGCCACAAAACUUGCUUAGUUCCUCCUGCAAUGGAGAGCAAGUCAGCACUGCUAUCCAUACUUUAACAAAAUCAAAGACACAGGCAAACAGGAAUACAGUAGAUAAGCCAUGGCCUCAGCCCAGUUCUGCUGAAGCCAUGGGGGACACGUAAAUCUGAGGAUCUGUCUGGUGUGUCUAGAAUGUGCUGAUAAAUGAGCAGCUGGCUUAAAGUCAAACUUCCCUCAGUCUCAAGCAAUGAUUCAGUCAGAGGCUACUUGCAACCAGCAGAAAGGCACUCAUUUUGAUAUGAACAGGAAAUUUACUGCCUGAUGCCAUAUCUGCCUCCAAAGCUGGUAUCUGGUGAGAAGCAAAAAAACAUGAAACUUUACCAUUCAUUCAAAUUUGAGAAAAGUCUCAGGGCCAAUUCAGUAACAAGGGUUGUCUCAUUUUUCUCAGUUUUGACAAGAACGUGUCUUUCAGAAUCUACAGGAAUUCGUUUUUGGGAGAAGACUAGCCUGCUGGUAGAAACAAGGCAUUUCCAUAGGAUUGCAGGAAGGUGAAUCAAAAGAACCACUAUCCUCACUAACAGGCAGAUUUGCAAUACAAGAGUCAGCCUUGCAACACUGACUUAACACAAGAGACACAAGUUACAUUUCUUGAGAAAUAAGAGAGAGAAACUGUGUCUGUGCAACUCUUGAGUCAGAGGCUGCAGUGUGAGACCCUGGGCCCUGCUGGUAUCUGAAAUCCUUCCCAGCCCAGCACACCUGAAAUCCUCUGGAAAGCUCUUGCCCAGCCCAUCUACUGCUUUUCAGCUCUGGUGGUGUGUAGUAAACACCUAGACACAGUUUCCCGAGCUGUGUCACAUGGAUACUUGUUCACAUCCAGCAUUACAUGGAGGGAUGCUCUAGACUGACACAUCUGUCACACAGAAACCUGUCAUUAGCUGAAAUGCUAUUUAGAUCAUGGCAGUAUAAGAAAUGGAUAUAGGAAGGGCACAAGUGGGCUAGAAGAAGGAAUAACCAUCACCCUAAAUUUGUGUAUGUUGCAGUAAGCAAAAUCUACUCUAUUGUAGUAAUAAUAAUAAUAAUAAUAAUAAUAAUAAUAAUAAUAAUAAUCUCUAUUGUAAUGACAAGUAUACUGGGCAUUGUGUGACAUGAAGGACAGUAGAAAAAUUAAGUGGUGAUAUAAUAACCACUUGGGCCUCCAGGAGGGAAGGGAGUUAUGUAAUUAAUAGUCUUUUUGCUGUUCAAGAGUUUCCACAUACUAGCAGAAGAUGGGUUCCUGAUGCCAGCUUUUUCUAAGAGUCUAAUUUCACUGGAGUUAUUAUUUCCUCAGCACUAUGAAGUUACCCACAGAGAAGAUAACUUUGGCUCUUCUGCUGCACACAGUGUAUUUUGGAUAGACAUACUUGGACAGGAGAAGAGAAGGGAAGAAAUGCAUCUCUUUCCAUUCAGAGAAAUUAUGUGUGGGACCAGUGAUUACGGAACAAAAAUGGAAUGAAAUCUCAUGUAUCCAUGAAGCAAAUGUGCUGUUUAUCAAUACUGUGCUUCAACUGCAGGCUCUCAGUCGACAUGCCUUUAUGCAGAAAAAACAGCUCUUAAUCAGAGCAGUAUCAAGAAUAAAAAUUUUGAAACAGGACACUCCUGCUUGCCAGCAGAGUAAGCAGUGAAAGCUUUCCGCCAAGGUGACUUCCAACCAGAGUGAGCAUCACUCACCAGAUGGAACAGGAUGGCAGACAAAUGCAGCUUCCCUGCCACAGCCCAGCACCAUGCAAGUCUAGACUCUAACACCAGCAGGACUCCAGAGCUUUAUCCCAACUGAGGACCUAGCACAAUAUGUUAAAAGGUACUUUGGCACCAGACUUGUUUAUUUGGGGGCAUGCUCCCCCCACUCAGCACGUAUGAACUGUGCAGCAUCAGAGACCACAGCCUGAUGAGCUCUGCACAACGCUGUGGUCUCUCUGUGUGCACUGGGUGGACAUUCCAAGCCCUCCAGGCAAUGAUGCACACCUGGCAGCCAGUACAAACAAGCAGUCCUGGCUUGAUCCUCUCCAUGGACCAUGCCUCCUUGUGUGGUUCCCUCCCACUACCAGUUGUACAGCAGACUUAGAGCUCAUUGGUUUUAACUCUUGUUAAAAGUGUCCUAAGGAAGGAAAGAGUGGGAGAUGCAGGAGAGCAGGUUGUGUGUAAGCAGCCAGAGCCACGUGCUGCAGUAUUGUACAAAGGCCAUCACUUUGAGCACGGCAAGAAAAAUCCUGUCACUCUCA